CCCAAGAGGUCACUCUUCCUUCAAGUGGCAUAGGGAAGUAUAGGGGCCACAUAAUAUACAGUUCCUUUCCACAACUUUGGAGAAGAUGGGCCUCAAGUCUGGGCCUGAAAAUUCCUACAACUACUCAAGAGUCUGUGGACAAUGACUGAGGAAACAAGCCAUGCAGGAAAUUGUC